rnacentral:tRNA from 1 species
GAGCCCGUGGCUCAAUGGUAGAGCGUUCGACUCAAAUACCAAAGGUCAGGGGUCGAAUCCCAGGUGUUCC